rnacentral:rRNA from 1 species
AUGUCCUUGGAAACCCUCCAUAAGAGUAGAGGAGGCAAGUUCAAGAGAACUGAUAAGAAGGACGUGGCUGCAAUAUUUGGAGCACAUGUUUGAGUUAUUCAAAGAAUAUGGGAGAAGGCAAUGAAACAAAAAGGCCUUGGUCAGGAGGUGGAUGUUUCAAACAAAAGAAAGGAAAAUUGUGGAAGAAAGUCUUAUGAUGAUAUUCUAUCUCUCAUUCCGACAAUUCCCUUAAACAAGAGGUCAACUAUUCGAUCUCUAGCCAAGGCACUGGGUGUAAGCCCUACUACACUAUAUAAGAAGUUC